UUGAAGAGUUUGAUCAUGGCUCAGAUUGAACGCUGGCGGCAGGCCUAACACAUGCAAGUCGAACGGUAACAGGAAACAGCUUGCUGUUUCGCUGACGAGUGGCGGACGGGUGAGUAAUGUCUGGGAAACUGCCUGAUGGAGGGGGAUAACUACUGGAAACGGUAGCUAAUACCGCAUAACGUCGCAAGACCAAAGAGGGGGACCCUCGGGCCUCUUGCCAUCGGAUGUGCCCAGAUGGGAUUAGCUUGUUGGUGGGGUAACGGCUCACCAAGGCGACGAUCCCUAGCUGGUCUGAGAGGAUGACCAGCCACACUGGAACUGAGACACGGUCC
rnacentral:rRNA from 1 species